GCUUAUAAGUCUGUCUCCAUCUACCCAGUUACCUAAGGUCCCUCACCCCUCAAUGCUCCCAAAUCAAAAAGAGUUGAUCCCAGAGGCUCCUCCAGCCUCUGCAGAAGCUGCUCAGGUCAACACCCACCCCAGCUGAGUUACUUAGUGGGGAGGAAAGAUGCACUCUAAUCAAAUCCCGGGAAAGACUUAAAAGAGUUUAGCAAGUUCUCACACUCAAGCUGCAUCCCAUUACCCUGGAGAGCUCAUUAAAGCACAGAGUUCUGGGCCCCUCCCUCGGAGUUUCUGAAUUUGCAUUUCUAACAAGUUCCCAGGUCCUGCUGCUGCCGGUGGGCCCAGAAGCUCACCUUGAAAAUCACUGGUGCUACAAAGGAGGACAAGAAGUAUGGUUACUGCCAUAGCAAGUUUUCCACCCCCAGGGCGAUCCCAGGUUCUAGAACAAACCUCAGCCUUGGCUGCUCCCUAACGAGGUGGUGUGGCUUGAGAAGCAGAGCUAAUCCCAGAGACAAUAGAGGAAGCUUUGUGAAGGGGAGAUCUCUGGGCUUGGAGACAUCAACACUCACCUUUUGCAGCCAGCCCCACCCUCCAUUCUGCAUAAGAGACGGCUUCCCAAGUGGAGCAGUGGUAAAGAAUUCACUACAUAGGAGAUGCAGGAGAUGCGUGUUCAAUCCCUGGGUCAGGAAGAUCCUUU
ensembl:lncRNA